GACAAACGCUGGCGGCGUGCUUAACACAUGCAAGUCGAACGGUACUCCUACGGGAGUAUAGUGGCGGACGGGUGAGUAACACGUAGCUAAUCUACCCUGAUGUGGGGAAUAACCCCUCGAAGAGGAGCUAAGACCGCAUAAGUUCUCUCUUGUUAGAGAGAGAAGAAACUUUAGGUCGAGUAGAAAAGACCAGAGGCGUUAGGAUGAGGC
rnacentral:rRNA from 1 species